GGCGCGUCAUCAGGAAAUUGCAUCGCUCCCACGUCACCUUAUCUUUUCACGGCUUCUCUCAUCCACAUAAUUCUCUCUCUCAGUUUACACACGAAGGAGCACAUCGGAGAGAGCCAGAGCUCCGGAGCGGAGAGGCGUCGAGCGCCGCCUCAGGAGCGCAGGAGGGGGCACCUCGUAGGGGCUCUGCCAAUUCGCCGCCGACGAGAGGCGCGUGGACAAGGCUCACCGUGGUGAGGGCUUCAUCAGGCUGCCGCUGACGAGCGAGAGGAGGUGGCGCGUCGAGGUGAAGGCUCCGCCGCCGCCGCCGAGCUUGAGGAUGAGCUGCGAGCUCUACGGAGGGAGGGCUCCGCCAAGCCGUCGUAGACGGGCGCGAGCCAAGCCACCGCUGACAAGCCCGAUAAGGAAGCGGACGAGCACGCGCGCAGCGGCGAGGAGAGCACCUACGACUAGCUAGCACGACAUCAAAGGAGGCCGAUGUGCUGCCGUCGCGGUUGUUUCCCCUCUCUGGCUCUCCCCCUGAAUUUCAAUUUGUGUUGCUGUUCAUUUUAUGAAUUUUGCAUUGUGAAAUUGGUAACUAGAAGCUACUAUGAACACAGUUAGGUAAUUUAA